GACGAACGCUGGCGGCGUGCUUAGCACAUGCAAGUCGAACGGAAAGGCCCUGCUUUUGUGGGGUGCUCGAGUGGCGAACGGGUGAGUAACACGUGAGUAACCUGCCCUUGACUUUGGGAUAACUUCAGGAAACUGGGGCUAAUACCGGAUAGGAGCUCCUGCUGCAUGGUGGGGGUUGGAAAGUUUCGGCGGUUGGGGAUGGACUCGCGGCUUAUCAGCUUGUUGGUGAGGUAGUGGCUUACCAAGGCUUUGACGGGUAGCCGGCCUGAGAGGGUGACCGGCCACAUUGGGACUGAGAUACGGCCCAGACUCCUACGGGAGGCAGCAGUGGGGAAUAUUGCACAAUGGGCGGAAGCCUGAUGCAGCAACGCCGCGUGCGGGAUGACGGCCUUCGGGUUGUAAACCGCUUUCGCCUGUGACGAAGCGUGAGUGACGGUAAUGGGUAAAGAAGCACCGGCUAACUACGUG
rnacentral:rRNA from 1 species